UACGGAAGGCAGCAGUGGGGAAUAUUGCACAAUGGGCGCAAGCCUGAUGCAGCCAUGCCGCGUGUAUGAAAAAGGCCUUCGGGUUGUAAAGUACUUUCAGUCGUGAGGAAGGUGUUAAGGUUAAUAACCUUAGCAAUUGACGUUAGCGACAGAAGAAGCACCGGCUAACUCCGUGCCAGCAGCCGCGGUAAUACGGAGGGUGCGAGCGUUAAUCGGAAUUACUGGGCGUAAAGGGCACGCAGGCGGUUAAUUAAGUUGGAUGUGAAAUCCCCGGGCUUAACCUGGGAUGGCAUUCAAGACUGGUUAGCUAGAGUCUUGUAGAGGGGGUAGGAAUUCCAUGUGUAGCGGUGAAAUGCGUAGAGAUGUGGAGGAAUACCGGUGGCGAAGGCGGCCCCUGGACAAAGACUGACGCUCAUGUGCGAAAGCGUGGGGAGCAAACAGGGAUUAGAUACC
rnacentral:rRNA from 1 species